rnacentral:lncRNA from 1 species
CCAGCUUUCACCUUUAUUGGUAUGAGUUGAGGGGAAAAUGUCUUUAUCACUGGUGCCUGAGUCCCAUCAUAGUCAUUAUUCCUCUGGAUUAAGACUUGAUUCUCUCUUAAAAUGGAGGUGCUCUUGGGAGGGAUAACCCGUCACAUUUCUAUUUCUUAGUGUGAAUGAAGUUAUGCAAUCCAGCAGCAAGUGAUGAAUUUUGGUGGUAAUGCCCUGGGCACCCAGAAAAGAAAAUGACAUGCAAACUGGGGUGGGCGGCAACAAUGAGAUUCUGUGACUCUACAGGCUUAUGGAGAGCUCGUCCCACUUUCUAAUCCACCUCCUUUGUUUGGUGUUUUGGAUUUUGGAAUUUGGAAUUUUGGAACCAGAAGAUCUGAUCCAGCUUUGGCUCUGUCACCCGUGUGGCCCUGGGUAAAGCCUCUUGGAAGGGUUGAAGACAAUACCUGUGGUAGCUGCUGAUGAGGUGGUUGUAAAGAGCCAGUGAGAUAAUAUGUGGGAAAGUUCAACCACACAGAUUCUACUCCUAAGGAAUCUGUUACGCCGAGUGCAACUGACUUCACUGUUGGAAGGCUAUGCCUCUUCUCUGUGUGCCAGUCAAUUCAGCAUCAGUGUCCCCUGCAUGAUCUGCCAAGCAGAAUCAGACCGUGACAAAUCUUAACCACUUUAUCGACCUGAGAGAUGAUCCUGGAUGGUAUAUUAAGUGACUAAGGUUUAGAAGUUACCAAACACCCACACUGAGUUUUAAAGACUUCCUUUGAAAGGGAUGACUGUAAGCUGAAUGGGGGCGGAAACCAAGCCUGCUUCUUCAUGAACAUUCCUUCAAUGUCCAGCAAAAAUUAAGUCCUUACUCAACAAAUGGUUAGCAUUCAGUAAGCAAAUGGGGGAAGGAAUUUUUGCUUUUGCUGUUGGCGAUGCUGAUUCAAACUUUGGGACCAGACAAGACAUCUCGUUCUUCCUUUUCUGAAGAGGAGAGCAGCCCUGCGGCAGACAGUGCCCCUACCCUGCCCCAGGCCACUGACGGCCCCGCGAGGGCCCUUCGGAGGGAAGGCUGCGGUGCUGGGCCUUCCCAGGGGUGCGUUUCCUCCAAUGGCCUUCCCAAGUAUUCACAGCCAACUUCCCCAUCAGUCAUGAGUUUUUCCAAGACUCACAGGAACCUGCCCUAAAGAGUUAAGGAAGUUCUCUGCGUGUUUCUAAAUACCACCUCCAAAAUACUUUCAGAGUUCCUGAGUUAAAGAUCCCAGGACUGAAACUUUGGAUGGUGUCAAGUUCCCCGUGGAGACUCGGAGACGCUGCAGGGCUGGGGCUCAGGAUGGCUACCGCCCCACCCUACCCCUACUCAGGAUAGGAAAAGGAGCAGCGA